rnacentral:rRNA from 1 species
AUUGAACGCUGGCGGCAGGCCUAACACAUGCAAGUCGAGCGGAUGAAGGGAGCUUGCUCCUGGAUUCAGCGGCGGACGGGUGAGUAAUGCCUAGGAAUCUGCCUGGUAGUGGGGGAUAACGUCCGGAAACGGGCGCUAAUACCGCAUACGUCCUGAGGGAGAAAGUGGGGGAUCUUCGGACCUCACGCUAUCAGAUGAGCCUAGGUCGGAUUAGCUAGUUGGUGGGGUAAAGGCCUACCAAGGCGACGAUCCGUAACUGGUCUGAGAGGAUGAUCAGUCACAUGGGAACUGAGACAGGGUCCAGACUCAUCGGGAGGGAAGCAGGGGGGAAUUUUGGAAAGGGGGAGAAGGCUUGAUCCAGCCUGGCGGCGUGUGGGAAGAAGGUCUGGGGAUUGUAAACCAUUUUAAGUUGGGAGAAAGGGCAGUAAGUUAAUACUUUGCUGUUUUGACGUAACAAAAAGAAUAACCACCGACUAAUUCCGUC